rfam:Oryza glaberrima chromosome 7 Oglab07_0084_18, whole genome shotgun sequence.
UCGAAGAGGACCGUGGGUUCCCGUACCAACGUUGUUUGACUGUUCGUCUUAUAUAAAAAUUUUUUAUAAUUAAUAUUUUCAUUAUUGUUAGAUGAUAAAACAUGAUCAAUAUUUUAUGCGUGACUUAUCUUUUUAAUUUUUUUAUAAUUUUUUUAAAUAAGACGAACAGUCAAACAUUGGACACGGAAACCAGGGUUUGUCUUUUU